rnacentral:rRNA from 1 species
AGCGGCGGACGGGUGAGUAAUGCUUGGGAACAUGCCUUGAGGUGGGGGACAACAGUUGGAAACGACUGCUAAUACCGCAUAAUGUCUACGGACCAAAGGGGGCUUCGGCUCUCGCCUUUAGAUUGGCCCAAGUGGGAUUAGCUAGUUGGUGAGGUAAUGGCUCACCAAGGCGACGAUCCCUAGCUGGUUUGAGAGGAUGAUCAGCCACACUGGGACUGAGACACGGCCCAGACUCCUACGGGAGGCAGCAGUGGGGAAUAUUGCACAAUGGGCGCAAGCCUGAUGCAGCCAUGCCGCGUGUGUGAAGAAGGCCUUCGGGUUGUAAAGCACUUUCAGUCAGGAGGAAAGGUUAGUCGUUAAUACCGGCUAGCUGUGACGUUACUGACAGAAGAAGCACCGGCUAACUCCGUGCCAGCAGCCGCGGUAAUACGGAGGGUGCGAGCGUUAAUCGGAAUUACUGGGCGUAAAGCGUACGCAGGCGGUUUGUUAAGCGAGAUGUGAAAGCCCCGGGCUCAACCUGGGAACUGCAUUUCGAACUGGCAAACUAGAGUGUGAUAGAGGGUGGUAGAAUUUCAGGUGUAGCGGUGAAAUGCGUAGAGAUCUGAAGGAAUACCGAUGGCGAAGGCAGCCACCUGG